rnacentral:lncRNA from 1 species
AUACAUUACUAAAGAAUAAUUUAAUACUUACUUUGAUACCAAUGAAACAAGACUAGUCUAUCUUGAGAGUCUAAGACUCUUCUAAUCCACAGCCACAUAAAACAUCAUCACAAAGUAGGAUAAAAUGGACUUGAACUAAACUAAAUAAAAUGUGACACAAAGACAAAAUCAUAGAAACUGAAAUAAAACAAAACAGAAUGAACAAGAAGAUGAAAAAUCAAACUUUAUUAAGAAAAAAGGUCCAAAGCUAUACUUGACUCAAUGCCCAAAAGAUCCUUGCUAGUCCUAUUUAUAUUUUGUUCUACCACC